UUUCCGUAGGUGAACCUGCGGAAGGAUCAUUAUUGUAUAACCGAGGUGCGAGGGCUGUCGCUGACCCGACAGGUCGUGCACGCCCGAGUGCCCUCACACACAUCCAUCUCACCCCUAUGUGCACCACCGCGUGGGUUCCCCUUUGGCUUGUUCGGAGGGGGGCUUACGUUUUCACACAAACUUUGUAUGCAGUGUAGAAUGUAUUUUUUGUUUUUGCGAUCACGCAAUCAAUACAACUUUCAACAACGGAUCUCUUGGCUCUC
rnacentral:misc_RNA from 1 species